UACAGAGGGUGCAAGCGUUAAUCGGAAUUACUGGGCGUAAAGCGUGCGUAGUCGGUUAUCUAAGUCGGGUGUGAAAUCCCCGGGCUCAACCUGGGAAUUGCAUUCGAUACUGGAUAGCUAGAGUUCGGCAGAGGGAAGCGGAAUUUCGGGUGUAGCGGUGAAAUGCGUAGAUAUCCGGAAGAACACCAAUGGCGAAGGCAGCCUCCUGGGCCAACAUUGACGCUGAGACGCGAAAGCGUGGGGAGCAAACAGG
rnacentral:rRNA from 1 species